rnacentral:rRNA from 1 species
UACGGAGGGUGCAAACGUUGCUCGGAAUCAUUGGGCGUAAAGCGCACGUAGGCGGUUUGGUAAGUCGGAUGUGAAAUCCCUCGGCUCAACCGAGGAAGUGCAUUCGAAACUGCCAGACUUGAAUAUGGAAGAGGGUCGCGGAAUUCCCGGUGUAGAGGUGAAAUUCGUAGAUAUCGGGAGGAACACCAGUGGCGAAGGCGGCGACCUGGGCCAAUAUUGACGCUGAGGUGCGAAAGCGUGGGGAGCAAACAGG